rnacentral:rRNA from 1 species
UACAGAGGUCCCAAGCGUUGUUCGGAUUCACUGGGCGUAAAGGGUGCGUAGGUGGUCGGGUAAGUCUGAUGUGAAAUCUCUGGGCUCAACCCAGAAACUGCAUUGGAUACUAUUCGGCUAGAGGAGUGGAGGGGGGACUGGAAUACUUGGUGUAGCAGUGAAAUGCGUAGAUAUCAAGUGGAACACCAGUGGCGAAGGCGAGUCCCUGGAACGGUACUGACGCUGAGACGCGAAAGCGUGGGGAGCGAACAGG